CACCAGCCAGAGCCCGCGGCCCCGUCCCGCCUUUCUGCAGACGUUGCCUGGAAAUUAGGGGAGACCUGUUGGAAAUAAACCCCUGUCUCUUUAAUGCACACACGCACACACGCGCGCGCUACCGCUGUCAAAAAGCGGGCUUCACUCUGGCGUGGGAUACUUUCAGUUUUACGUAAAAUGUACAGCAACAGCACCCCCUGCGAUUGGAAAGUUUAUUCAGAAACGUGCUUGCAAAGUCCCCCGGCGUCUCCCGCCUCCCAGCCUCCCUGCCUGCCUACACCACCCAGCCGCCGCCGCCGCCGGGGAGAUCGCGCUCCGAUUCCAAAUCAGGAAGGGCCUGGAGGGGAGAGAAAAUGGACUCGAGUCCUAGGGCGGCGCGAGGGUGCAGGGUGGACACCGGUGGCCGCGGCCCGCGAGACCCCGAGCUGCAGGUGGAGGCGUCUCUAGGGCUCUGAACGUGAAUGUGGUCAGCAAACAACUCGAAGAAGGAGUCUUAAUACAGUCCCAGCCCUCCUGCGAGGAUCGCCUGGCCGGGGACUCGGGCUGAGCUGGAGGAUGAAGGGUUAAAAGGCCUAUCUCGAUGGAAACUACAAAAUUAAAAGUCGUCCUGGGCCUUUAGAGGGCUGGUGGGCUGCUUCAUACACCUGGAUGGACCCAUCCAAAAGAAAAGAGAACAGGAUGAAAGGAAGGAAGAUGAAUUACUUGCCUCUAGACCAGGCUGCUGUGUGCUGAGUCAAUAUUGCAUGGGAAGGAGAGGAGCAGUAGCCUCACCAUGUAAGUAAGAGGCCCCUUGGAAGGGA
ensembl:lncRNA